CGGGACAUAGCGCAGCCUGGUUAGCGCGCCUGCCUUGGGAGCAGGAGGUCGCAGGUUCAAAUCCUGCUGUCCCGACCA
rnacentral:tRNA from 1 species